rnacentral:rRNA from 1 species
UAUAACUUUGAGCGGUGGAUCACUCGGCUCGUGCGUCGAUGAAGAGCGCAGCCAGCUGCGUGAAUUAAUGUGAAUUGCAGAACACAUUGAACAUCGACACCUUGAACGCACAUGGCGGCCUCGGGUCGUCCCGAGGCCACGCCCGUCUGAGGGUCG